GUGCUCACUUCAGCAGAACAUAUACUGAAAUUGAGCAAUACCGAGAAGGCUAUUAUAGCCCCUGCACAACGGGGACAUGCAAAUACCCAAAUCAUUCCAUAUUUUU